rnacentral:rRNA from 1 species
AACAAACGCUGGCGGCGUGCCUAAUACGUGCAAGUCGAACGGGGAAAGCUUUCGGGUGAGUACUAGUGGCGCACGGGUGAGUAACGCGUGGAUAAUCUGCCCUCGAAUGGGGAAUAACUAGUCGAAAGAUUAGCUAAUACCGCAUAAGACCACGACUACUGAGGUAGUUGGGGUCAAAGGAGCAAUUCGUUUGAGGAUGAGUCCGCGUAAGAUUAGCUAGUUGGUGAGGUAAUGGCUCACCAAGGCGAUGAUCUUGAACUGGUCUGAGAGGAUGAUCAGUCACACUGGAACUGAGACACGGUCCAGACUCCUACGGGAGGCAGCAGUAGGGAAUAUUGGACAAUGGGGGCAACCCUGAUCCAGCGACGCCGCGUGAGCGAUGAAGGCCUUCGGGUCGUAAAGCUCUGUUGUAAGGGAAAAAGUUCUGAUUGUACCUUACGAGAAAGGAUCGGCUAACUUCGUGCCAGCAGCCGCAGUAA